CUGAUGUCACAGCUGAUCUGAGCCAAUCCCUGCCGACCUGGUCACGUGACAGCCUGACGUCCCUGCUGUCCUCAGAUCAGCCUCUGAGGAGGAGCACAGAGAAAAACCUUUUCUCCCAUCUGAGAGCAAAUUUAUCAUGGACAGUGAUGUUUGGACAGAUACCAGGCGAACAGUUGAUGAGUUUAACUCAAGGCUGCAGAGGAAGAAGCAGAAAGUGUGGUGGAGCUCUGAGGACGAGCAGCAGAGCAGCAGAGCACACACUUGUCAGCUGAAAUCAUCCCAGCAGCUUGUCUGGGCUCAGGAGGAACACACAGGACGAGUGCAGCUCUGCAGCAGGGARGCUGCUGUUAGCGUUAGCCGUGGAUGGAUUCUUCGGCUGCUUUAAKAGCUGCAUGGACGACAUUUGGAGCAGAUCGGGGGGUGUUGUUGUGGGAGGAGGCGUUUGGUGCCGUGAGGCCCAGGAGCAUUCAGUAACGUGUCGUUGCUGAGAAGAGCAGAAUAAUCUGGAAGCAGAGAGAAAAACUAAACCUCGGUCUAACGAACAGAUCCUGAAAGAGUGACGUUCCCGUCAGAGCAGGAGCUGCACACUCUGAGGCUUAUUUGUGUUUUUGAGCAUCCUGCUCUGACUCUUAAUGAGCUUACCUAACAGGAGACCACGGGGCGUUCCUGUGUGUCUUCCUCUUACGUAAGAMUCCACCCAGGGGUCAGACGUCCUGCAGGCUGGGAUUAGAGGACACGAGGAGCAGGACACGGCUGCUGUGAGUCAAGACUACAUCAGGAUCAAAACAUAGACAUUUUAUUAAAGGGCCAAUUUUAUGUGUUUCUCAGGCAUACAUUUAAAUACUAUACCAUAAUAAAGUAUCUAUGUCACAUUUAG